UACGUAGGGGGCAAGCGUUGUCCGGAUUUAUUGGGCGUAAAAGGCUUGUAGGUGGCCACGCCAAGUCGGAUGUGAAAUCUCCCGGCUCAACUGGGAGGGGUCAUUCGAUACUGGCGGGCUCGAGGCCGGUAGGGGGAAGUGGAAUUCCCGGUGUAGUGGUGGAAUGCGUAGAUAUCUGGAGGACCACCGGUGGCGAAGGCGGCAUCCUGGACCGACACUGACGCUGAGGAGCGAAAGCCAGGGGAGCAAACGGG
rnacentral:rRNA from 1 species